ACACUGGGUUUGAUCCUCAGUACCACAUAAAAAUAAAAAUAUAAAGAUAUAAAGAAUAUAACAUUAAAUUUGUUUAAAAAAACUUAAGGAAAUGAAGACAAUUGGUAUGGAAGGGAGGAAAGCCAUAAACUGAAAUGCUUUCUGCAGAUCACAAAGUCAUAGGGCAUGGGCUGCGAUUUGGGCUCAGAGGUAGAGUGCAAGUCUAGUUUGUGUGAGGCAUUGGGUUUGAUCCUCAGCACCACAUAAAGUAAAAUAGACAUUGUGUUCAUCCUUAUUUGAUAUUCCCAGAAAUUUACACGAACAAACUUAAAUUCAGCUGCCUACACAGGUUGGGGGCAGCAGAAGUGCUCUCCUACUGAACGAUAUCACUAGACCCAUGGACUGUGUUUUGGAAAAAUAUUUAUAUUUUAGUUAUAAUUGGAUACAAAACCUUUAUUUUAUUUAUGUACUUUUAUGUGAUGUUGAGGAUCAAACCCAGGGCCUCACACAUGAUAGGCAAGCAUUCUACCACUGAGCCACAACCCCAGCCCAACCCAUGGCCCUUUUAAAUUUACAAUUGCUCCAGUGAUUGCAGCUUCAGAAAAUCCAUAGCCUGUUUGGACGUAUUUUGAGAAAGCCUGCCCUAUGGCUUUUUAAAAACAUAUUUAUUUUUUAGUUGUAGUUGGACACAAUACCUUUAUUUUAUUUAUUUUCAUGUGGUUUUUUGGAUUCAAAUCAGAGCCUCACACAUGCUAGGCAAGCACUCUACCCCUGAGCCACAACCCACAGCCACAAGGUGUAAUACAUUUAAUCCAUUUAAACAUUUUAUGUGGAGUGUCCCUGUGAUUAUGGUGAAAGCAUGGAAGUUUGUUUAAUGAAUAUUUAAUAUUAACUUUUUUGCCCUGGGACGGCUGGGAAGUAUCCAUGUGGAGGGGCCUAUGGGGCACUCGCUCUCCCUCUUUUCUCACAGAGAUGGGUCCAACUUUCCCCUUCCCCAGUGUUGUAGAUCUCCGGAAGCAGUGCAUGCCAAAUUGGUUCUAAGGGCUGCACAAGUCAGGCUGGGACAAAGCCCAGCUGGGUCGGUGGUGGUUACUUAGGAACAAAGAACCAAGCAGCCUGAGUAUGGGAAAGAAACACGUGUCAAUCAGCAGAGUCUUCUGGCCAAUCCUGGAUUUCAUCCAGUUCCACCAACCAACUUUACCAGGAGAAGGGACUCAAAAUACCUUUUCCUGUCCCAAGGCCUUCCCUUCUUGCCGUAAGCCCCAGUCCCAUGGAGCUCCCACCCGUUUUCUCCUGUGACACUUGUCCUGUUUACUCUGUCUGAUAAAGUUCUGCCCUAGAGCAUCAUCUCAAAUAAAGCCUCAUUCAGCGGCCUUUUAAAAUCUGUCUCCUUUGGUUAACAUCCAUUGCUGGACCUCACACCCUCCCCUACCAGAAAAAAUAAAAGCACAAAGCAUUGAGAGGGCCUGCUAGGGGUGUUAACUCCAUGUGAUUUCUGCCCAGUCCUCUGAAUGUCAAAGUGAAGAAAUUCAGUGAAGUGCAGUUAAACGGAGGGAGUAACUAUGAUAAUCUUAAGGCCCUCAAAUGCCUCCUCUUCUAAUUAGUGAUGCAUGAAUAGAUGAAAAAGAUUCCCACUUUCUCUAUGUACUAUCCAGCAAAACCACAGCCAAAGGAAUGGGCUCUGCAGACCCAGUGAGGAAAGAACUGUAGAAACAAAGAACCAGAAAGAAGCCCAGCUUGCCCCCCAUGCCCCCCAAAGGGCUCUAUUUUUUCUUCCUCAGCCAGAGCUGGAAGUCCAAAGAACAAUAACAACAAUAACAAAACAAACAA